rnacentral:lncRNA from 1 species
GCAAAGCUUUCUGAGGUUUAGACCCGCUAGGUUUAGCCACCUUGGACGGCUGAUCCACGGGCUCGGCAGAAGAACCCCUGGUUCUCUUCACACUUCGAGCACUCGGGGCCACGGGAGGAGCCGACGGAACAGCGGGGUCAUGACGGUGCUUGGUUCGGCAUUCUGGUGGUGAGGGUGACGAGCUCUGCUCUUCACUCUCCUCCUCCUCCUCUUCUGUUUCCUCCUC